AGAGAGGAUGGAACUGGUGUUUCAACUGGUCUUCAAAACCAGUAAUGGGCAGCUAAAACUGUCUACGGCAGGUUCGAUUCCUGCCCUCUCGGCCA
rnacentral:tRNA from 1 species